rnacentral:rRNA from 1 species
UGCCAGACUCCUACGGGAGGCAGCAGUGAGGAAUAUUGGUCAAUGGACGAGAGUCUGAACCAGCCAAGUAGCGUGAAGGAUGACUGCCCUAUGGGUUGUAAACUUCUUUUAUAUGGGAAUAAAAUGUUCCACGUGUGGGAUUUUGUAUGUACCAUAUGAAUAAGGAUCGGCUAACUCCGUGCCAGCAGCCGCGGUAAUACGGAGGAUCCGAGCGUUAUCCGGAUUUAUUGGGUUUAAAGGGUGCGUAGGCGGUCCGGAAAGUCGGCGGUAAAAGCCCGGGGCUCAACCCCGGCGAGCCGUUGAAACUGUCGGACUAGAGACGGCGAGAAGUACGCGGAAUGCGCGGUGUAGCGAUGAAAUGCAUAGAUAUCGCGCAGAACUCCGAUUGCGAAGGCAGCGUACCGGCGCCGGACUGACGCUGAGGCACGAAAGCGUGGGUAUCGAACAGGAUUAGAUACCCUAGUAC